rnacentral:rRNA from 1 species
CGGCGAGUGAAGCGGCAACAGCUCAAUUUGAAAUCCGGCCUCCGGGCUCGAGUUGUAAUUUGUAGAGGGCGUUUCGGAGGCGGCGCCGGCUUAAGUCCCUUGGAACAGGGCGUCGCAGAGGGUGAGAAUCCCGUACGUGGCCGGCGAGCAAUUCCGGGUGAAACCCCUUCGACGAGUCGAGUUGUUUGGGAAUNCAGCUCAAAACGGGUGGUAAAUUCNNNCUCAAGCUAAAUACCGGCNNGAGACCGANAGCGCACANNNAGAGUGAUCGAAAGANGAAANNCACUUUNNAAAGNGNGUCAAAAAGUACGUGAAAUUGUUGAAAGGGAAGCGCUUGNNCCAGACUUGCUCGCGGGCGAUCAGCCUCCCUUCGGGGGGGUGCACUCGCCCGCGAUCAGGCCAGCAUCGGUUUGGGCGGGCGGAUAAAGUCCCCAGGAACGUAGCUCCCUUCGGGGAGUGUUAUAGCCUGGGAUGNANUGCGCCCAGCCGGGACCGAGGACCGCGCUUCGGCUAGGAUGCUGGCGUAAUGGUUGUAAGCGACCCGUCUUGAAANACGGACNNNGGAGUCUNNCAUCUGUGCGAGUGUUUGGGCGUGAAACCCUGCGCGGAAUGAAANUGAACGGAGGUGGGAGCCCUCUCGGGGG